GGAUGAACGCUGGCGGCGUGCCUAACACAUGCAAGUCGAGCGCGUCUGAUUUGAUGCUUGCAUUGAUGAAAGAUGAGCGGCGGACGGGUGAGUAACGCGUGGGUAACCUGCCCUAUACACAUGGAUAACAUACUGAAAAGUUUACUAAUACAUGAUAAUAUAUAUUUACGGCAUCGUAGAUAUAUCAAAGUGUUAGCGGUAUAGGAUGGACCCGCGUCUGAUUAGCUAGUUGGUGAGAUAACUGCCCACCAAGGCGACGAUCAGUAGCCGACCUGAGAGGGUGAUCGGCCACAUUGGAACUGAGACGCGGUCCAAACUCCUACGGGAGGCAGCAGUGGGGAAUAUUGCACAAUGGGCGCAAGCCUGAUGCAGCAACGCCGCGUGAACGAUGAAGGUCUUCGGAUCGUAAAGUUCUGUUGCAGGGGAAGAUAAUGACGGUACCCUGUGAGGAAGCCCCGGCUAACUACGUGCCAGCAGCCGCGGUAAUACGUAGGGGGCUAGCGUUAUCCGGAUUUACUGGGCGUAAAGGGUGCGUAGGUGGUCUUUCAAGUCGGUGGUUAAAGGCUACGGCUCAACCGUAGUUAGCCUCCGAAACUGGAAGACUUGAGUGCAGGAGAGGAAAGUGGAAUUCCCAGUGUAGCGGUGAAAUGCGUAGAUAUUGGGAGGAACACCAGUAGCGAAGGCGGCUUUCUGGACUGCAACUGACACUGAGGCACGAAAGCGUGGGUAGCAAACAGGAUUAGAUACCCUGGUAGUCCACGCUGUAAACGAUGAGUACUAGGUGUCGGGGGUUACCCCCCUCGGUGCCGCAGCUAACGCAUUAAGUACUCCGCCUGGGGAGUACGCACGCAAGUGUG
rnacentral:rRNA from 1 species